rnacentral:rRNA from 1 species
GAGUGCAGAGAGAAGUGACUCAUGUGUAAGCGUGAAAUGCGUAGAGAUAUGAGACACCAGUGGGCGGAAGCGACUUUCUGGUCUGUAACUGACAAUGAGGCGCGAAAGCGUGGGGAGGCAAACAAGAUUAGAUACCCUGGUAGUCCACGCCGUAAACGAUGAGUGCUAAGUGUUAGAGGGUUUUCGCCCUUUAGUGCUGAAGUUAACGCCUUAAGCACUCCGCCUGGGGAGUACCGCCGCCAGGCUGAAACUCAAAGGAAUUGGCGGGGGCCCGCACCAGCGGUGGAGCAUGUGGUUUAAUUUGAAGCAACGGGAAGAACCUUACCCGGUCUUGACAUCCUUUGACAACCCUAGAGAUAGGGGUUUUCCUUUGGGAGCAGAGUGACCGGUGGUGCAUGGUUGUUGUCAGCUUGUGUUGUGAGAUGUUGGGUUAAGUCCCGCAACGAGCGCAACCCUUGAUUUUAGUUGCCAUCAUUUAGUUGGGCCCUUUAAGGUGACUGCCGGUGACAAACCGGAGGAAGGUGGGGAAGACGUCAAAUCCUCCUGCCCCUUAUGACCUGGGGUACCCACGUGGUUCAAUGGACGGUACAAAGAGGUGCAAGGCCGCGAGGUGGAGGUAAUUUCAUAAAACCGUUUUCAGUUUGGAUUGUAGGGUGCAACUUGCCUACCUGAAGCUGGAAUCGGUUGUAAUCGCGGAUCAGCAUGCCGCGGUGAAUACGUUUCCGGGCCUUGUACACCCCGCCCGUCACCCCCCGAGAGUUUGUAACCCCCGAAGUCGGUGGGGUAACCUUUUGGAGCCAGCCGCCUAAGGUGGACAGAU